rnacentral:rRNA from 1 species
AUUGAACGCUGGCGGCAGGCCUAACACAUGCAAGUCGAACGCGUGGCGGACGGGUGAGUAAUGUAUGGGAAACUGCCUGAUGGAGGGGGAAAACUACUGGAAACGGUAGCUAAUACCGCAUACCAUAAGAUGUGACCCGAUGGGAUUAGCUUGGUGGUGGGGUAACGGCUCACCAAGGCAACGAUCCCUAGCUGGUCUGAGAGGCUGACCAGCCAACCUUGAACUGAGACACGGUCCAGACGCCUACGGUAGGCAGCAGUGGGGAAGAUUGCACAAUGGGCGCAAGCCUGAUGCAGCCAUGCCGCGUGUAUGAAGAAGGCCUUCGGGUUGUAAAGUACUUUCAGCGGGGAGGCGUUACCCGCAGAAGAAGCACCGGCUAACUCCGUGCCAGCAGCCGCGGUAAUAC